GGCGGCCCGCUGCGCUGCCUGGGACGGAACGCGGAACCGGCGGCUCUGAGUGCGGCACGGGAACCGCCUGGCCCCGCAGCGAGGACUUCGCACUGCGCCAUGAGCUGCUGUUGAGCUGGGCGGUUCGUUUAUUUCAGGUCCCUCUCCUUCAUGCUGCCCAUCUCCCCAGCAGGAGCUGCCCAGGUUCCCAUCGACCAAACCCAAGACUCCAAGAGAAGGACAGGUAAGCCAGGUCACCCAUCAGACACUGCUCGUGUUCCCCGUGCAGCAGCAGCUGCCGGCAGCCCGCACCCAUCUGCUUUCCUUUCACGAGCACAGGGCUGCUCUGAGCACACCUCGGGCUCUGUCCCUGCAAAGAAACACAGCACGGAGCUCUUCAACCCGGUCUGCUAUUCUGACGACAAACUGCUGACUUCAGUUACCAACUGAACUCAAUUAUCCUUUUAAUGUAUUCCAGCAAACUGCGUGCUUAUUUACUUGAGGGCACACCAGUCCCAGAGAAGGGAACACAAAACCAACAGCUCCACACCAACCUCUCUGCAUAGAGGGUAGCACCACUACCUCAUACUUGCUCUUACUGACUCCCCUUCUCCCCGAGCUCAACACACCCGCUCACUUCAGAAUUUUCCAAAAAUAAGGAGCCUUCUCUGCCAUUCCAACCGCGCGCUGGACAGCCCGACCGCCAGGGGGCGCCGCUCCGAGGGAACGCGGAAGCGCCCGACGCGCCCAUGACGUCACAGGGGCGCGCCGCCCGUUGCCAUGGCAGCGACGCCGCCGGGGGCUCUGUGUGCAGCUCGCGAACUUCCUCCUUUCGACAUAGCACGUGUUCAAAGGUUAGAAGAAUGUUAUUCAUCUGAAUGGUGAAGUUGAGGAGUAGAGACUCUCAGAAAAUGCUUCAGGUAAUUCUACUUAAGCAAGAACUGAACACUUAAAUCAGACGUUCUGAAUUACUAAAGGACAAAUGCCUCUGUUGGUAUAGGGUUCCUACCCUUCUCACCUGCACAUUUUCAUUUAAUAAGCACAACUAUAGGAACUACAUACAGUCUUAUGCAUGUAAAGCUUAAAAAGAAGCACAGAAUACACAAAUGCAAUCUGGAAGUAAAGAUAUUGGCUCUAGAAAGAAAGGGGCAGCCAAAAAAAUCUUGAGUCAGUGUAUCGUUGCCACAGCUACUCUGAGAGUCCAUUCAUUACCCCAUCUAACAAAGUAGAGAAGUAUUUUGGGACAGUCUGCAGCCAGCAGACUGCUCCUAAAGGGAAUAUUUUCUCCAGCAUAAUUAGUUAAAGCUCUAGGGCCCUUACCUACCCUAGAACUGGGAGCUAAAAUAAUAACUCACCUUCCAUCAAGACCCUGUACCAAUUCACUAAGACGAGCCAAAAAAGCGUGAACUAGGUUACAUAGCAAUAGAAUAAGAUCCAGACAUCCUAGAUGAUAUUGAAGUAGGUGGAAUGGAAGAAAAGGAGAGAAGAGAAGAGAAGAGAAGAGAAGAGAAGAGAAGAGAAGAGAAGAGAAGAGAAGAGAAGAGAAGAGAAGAAUUUAAGCAGAGAACAGAAAGUGAACAGCACUAGAUGAAAAUUCUUUAUACCCUAGCAAUGUGCACUUUUGAGAUAUGAUGAACAUAAUAACAUAUAAGUUCAUAACUAUGCACACAUUCGUAAACGAGUGACUCCUAUAGACUGCAAACCAAUGUGGGUUUGUUUCUGUAUGUGGUGACACACAGCACUGCUCACAUUAUGGCAUACUGUCUGUACACCUUCCUGACAUUUUACUGGCUUACUGGAACCUCGCUGCCCUGUGCUCAGCUAGCCAGCCAGCAGGUGUGGCUAUAGAGCCUGGUCCUGCCUCUGAAACAACCGGAUGUCUUUUGGCUGUCAGUGAACAGAUGAAGAUGAAAUCACUGUGACCAUUUCUAAGAAGGAUAUAAUAAUCCUACAAGCUUACUUUCAGCAUCAGAAACCCCAGGGUAUGUUCUGAAGCCACAGUUGUAAACACGACUGCUACAUAUGUGGGAGUCCUUCAUGCUUGUAAAAACACACAGUUAAAAAAAACUAGUCUCAUAGAAAUUUCCUGAACUGGAGGAGCCAAAAUGAUUUUUUUAAUUCAGGCUUUGAUGCCUUAUCAUUUUAAGGGAAACUAGUUGCCAGGUGAAAAAAUCUUCCGUACAGCUUGAACAAAAGUAGUUUUCUUCUGUGCAAGACUUCAAACCUAUUUUUACAGAUAAUGGCUCCACUGCUAUUUCCGCUUUUUAGGUUUUCCAGCCACAGCAUCAUUAACACAAGUAAAGCUAAUGUACAAAAAAAGUUAGGAGGAAUAUCUUACCUAAAAGCUAUUUUCAGCAUACUUUUACAGUGCUGUGAGAAAAUACUAGUUAGUAAUCCACCAUUGCCCAUGAAACCUUUUGUCUCCUACAAAACAAUUGUAAGCUGUACCCUGGUGAGCAGGAUGACAGACAUGAAAGAUUUAAAUUUUUUUUUCUAUUAUUUAAUAUUAAAUAUCUAGUAU